rnacentral:misc_RNA from 1 species
GGAGGGAUCAUUAAACGUAUCCAACGUUUAACUCUUUGUGAACUCAAUUUUCAAAACAACUUCUUGAGUGGUGGCGCUUUGAGACUUGUGUGAGUGCUGCAGGUGAAAUUUUUGGGUAAAACCAAAUUUUUCAGAGCUCUACAUGUCAAGCCACGUGUCAGGAGGGUCGAAGCCUGUGGGUGUUUUCUUUUUUACUUUUUAACGCUUAUGUAAAUCUUUGAUGAAACUUGUGGAUUGGUUUCACAAUCCACGUUAAACAAAAAAAUGAAACGUUAAGCACAACUCUUAACAACGGAUAUCUAGGCUCUCGUAACGAUGAAGAACGCAGCGAAAUGCGAUACGUAAUGCGAAUUGCAGAAUUCAGUGAAUCAUCAAAUCUUUGAACGCAACUUGCGCUCUUGGGUAUCCCUGAGAGCAUGCCUCUUUGAGUAUCGUUUCAACCCAAUCUCAGCUUCGUGCUGAGGAAAAUGAGUGUUUUCUCGGCUUGCGUUGGUUUUCGAAUCACGUGUCGAGUCACUUUAAAUUUAGCUGACACUUAUUUCCAGCUUAUCCCAAAACGCUUUGCAUUGUUAAGUCCUGUGUUCCGCUAAAGGUCGCACUUUGGCCGGGUCAUUUUUAAGGACCAACCAACUAGCUUUUGAUGUUGAUAUUUGACUUCGGUCAUUACUUUAUUCUACAUCGAACUAGGGCUGGUCCGUAAAAUUCAUAUAUGACUGCCAUUCCGAUAGGAACUACGUUGGAUGCUAUGUAGCGUGAGUUGGAGUUUGAAUAAUUCGAGUGUCGUAACAAAUAAAUCACAAGCUGUUUUUCACGAAACUGUCUUGAAAAUUUGAUCUCAAAUGAAGCAAGAAAACCCGCCGAAUUUAAGCAUAUUAUUAAGCGGAGGAAAAGAAACUAACAAGGAUUCCCCUAGUAACGGCGAGUGAAGCGGGAAGAGCUCAAAGUUAAAAUCGGGGCACCUAGCGGUGAUCUCGAAUUGUAAUCUGUAGACGCGUUUUCAGUCCCGACCUGGGUAUAAGUCUUUUGAAACAAGGCAUCAGAGAGGGUGAGAAUCCCGUCUUUGACCUGGAGUUCGGGGCGUACGAAGCGCGCUCAAAGAGUCGAAUAGCUUGGGAAUGCUGUUCUAAAUGGGUGGUAAAUUUCAUCUAAAGCUAAAUAUCGACGAGAGACCGAUAGCGAACAAGUACCGUGAGGGAAAGAUGAAAAGAACUUUGAAAAGAGAGUUAAAAAGUACUUGAAAUUGUUAAGAAGGAAGCUCUGGAAACCAGUGGUGCCUGGUCUGAUAUUACCUUUACGUACGUUAGAGGGCAAGCCCGUAUCUUAUCGAGCGGGUGAAACUUCAGGGCGUGCGUGAGGAGUCUGUCGGAUUGGGUGAGUCAGGAUCAAGUCGUCUCGGAGGAGAAAGUUGGCGGAAGGUAGUCCGCUGCUAGCAAUAGCAGUGGAAACUUAUAGCCGUUAACUAUACUUCGGGGUUGCUUGAGGAAUCAAAGACAAUGCGUUCCGUAAGGCUGCAGGUGGCAUUUCCUGGUUUUCUGCGAAUUUGAACAGCAAAGCUGUGUAGAGUUUGCAGGAUUCUACUGAGGUGUCUCUUGACCACGCAUUCGCGAUCUUGACGAAAUGGUUUUCAUAGACCCGUCUUGAAACACGGACCAAGGAGUCUAACAACUAUGCGAGUAUUUGGGCUUGAAAACCCUGAUGCGAAAUGAAAGUGAAGACUGCCUUCGGCAGUUGAGGUAGGAACCGCAAGGGGCACUAUCGACCGAUCGUUCAUUCAUGAAAGAUUUGAGUAAGAGCAUAUCUGUUGGGACCCGAAAGAUGGUGAACUAUGCCUGAUCAGGGUGAAGCCAGGGGAAACUCUGGUGGAGGCUCGUAGCGAUACUGACGUGCAAAUCGUUCGUCUGAAUUGGGUAUAGGGGCGAAAGACUAAUCGAACUAUCUAGUAGCUGGUUCCCGC